rnacentral:tRNA from 1 species
GAGGGUAUAUCUCAAGCGGUAGAGCACAUGCUUAGCAUACAUGAGGUCCUGGGUUCAAUCCCCAGGACCUCCU